rnacentral:rRNA from 1 species
CAAAUGAAUUGACGGGACCCGCACAAGCGGUGGAUGAUGUGGUUUAAUUCGAUGCAACGCGAAAACCUUACCCACCUUUGACAUGUACGGAACCCUCCAGAGAUGGAGGGGUGCUCGAAAGAGAGCCGUAACACAGGUGCUGCAUGGCUGUCGUCAGCUCGUGUCGUGAGAUGUUGGGUUAAGUCCCGCAACGAGCGCAACCCUUGUCAUUAGUUGCUACGAAAGGGCACUCUAAUGAGACUGCCGGUGACAAACCGGAGGAAGGUGGGGAUGACGUCAAGUCCUCAUGGCCCUUAUAGGUGGGGCUACACACGUCAUACAAUGGCUGGUACAAAGGGUUGCCAACCCGCGAGGGGGAGCCAAUCCCAUAAAGCCAGUCGUAGUCCGGAUCGCAGUCUGCAACUCGACUGCGUGAAGUCGGAAUCGCUAGUAAUCGUGGAUCAGCAUGUCACGGUGAAUACGUUCCCGGGUCUU